rnacentral:rRNA from 1 species
AUUGAACGCUGGCGGCAGGCCUAACACAUGCAAGUCGAGCGGUAGAGAGAAGCUUGCUUCUCUUGAGAGCGGCGGACGGGUGAGUAAUGCCUAGGAAUCUGCCUGGUGGUGGGGGAUAACGUUCGGAAACGGACGCUAAUACCGCAUACGUCCUACGGAAGAAAGCGGGGGAUCUUCGGACCUCGCGCCAUUAGAUGAGCCUAGGUCGGAUUAGCUAGUUGGUGAGGUAAUGGCUCACCAAGGCGACGAUCCGUAACUGGUCUGAGAGGAUGAUCAGUCACACUGGAACUGAGACACGGUCCAGACUCCUACGGGAGGCAGCAGUGGGGAAUAUUGGACAAUGGGCGAAAGCCUGAUCCAGCCAUGCCGCGUGUGUGAAGAAGGUCUUCGGAUUGUAAAGCACUUUAAGUUGGGAGGAUGGGUAGUAACCUAAUACGUUGCUACUUUGACGUUACCGAACAGAAUAAGCACCGGCUAACUUCGUAGCCAGCAGCCG